CGUCUCUGUCGCGCGCGUUCGUCAAUCAAAAUUCGAUUUUUAAUUCAAAAUUAAAAUAACUUAGGUUGUUGGUUAGCAUUUGUUUUUAUUGAAUUGUACGGGUUGUACAUUCACUAUGCCCAGAAGGAGGAGGUUGUUAACACCUAGGAAGAAAGUUAAUAAUGUAAAAGACGAGAAUGACAAAGAUGACAAUGAAGUGUCUACACCUCGCGGGCGACUUAAGGGUGCUCUAAAGGACGCACUCGACCCCGCCGAAGACUCGGAGACUUCUCUUGAACAAAAUUCGGUAAGAAGAAGCUACAAUAAUGAAAGAAGACAGUCUUCAGAAAACGAAGAAGAAGAAUAUUGGCGAACAAAGCCAUCUCCGGUGCGACAGCCCUAUGUACUCAAGCUGUUUGACCGAAGUGUAGACCUCUCACAGUUUGACGAAGAUUCUCCACUUUACCCCAUCUGCAGAGCUUGGAUAGCCAACCAGCCCAAGAUGAAUUACAAGAAGUUAGGUAUGGAUUCCAGUAAGAGGAAGUGCUGGGCACCUGAGACGACACAAGACAGUGUGGUGCUGCCCGGACCUGAAGGUCCGCCGGUCAGCAGGAUACCCGAACUGCUGCCUGAACAAGAGACUCGGGACAAGAACAAUAUUAAUCUCAAUUACCGUGAAGCACCACCACCAAGCAAGGAAUCCCUCCUGGCACAACACUGCGCGCGCUGGGCGGGCGUGCGGCGCGCCUGGCUGCAACAGGGAGCCGCCGUGGAGGCGCGCUACGAGGCCACGCAGCAGCUACUCAACAAGAUCAAUGUCAAGUGAGAAGACAUUUUGAUUAGAAGAAACAUUUGUCAAGCUCAAUAUAUAGAGCCGCGGUCUUAAUAUAACAUACCGGAAGUGUUAAGGCUAAUUCCGCGACGUGUUGCGGCGCCACAACACGUUCUCUGUGAUGCAAAUCUGGUAGCUCCGAACAUUCGCUUUUAGCAGCAUCCAGAUUUUAUAUACCAAUUUUUAAUAGACGUAAGUGUAAUGUUUUAUAAAAAUUGUUUUAAUUUAUUCAAUCAGAAUCAUUGUAGAGUAUUGUGAUUAUAUAGGAAACUAUUGUUUGAUUUGAUAGUGAUUUAUUUAAGAAUAAACUUU